rnacentral:lncRNA from 1 species
AAGAGCAUGGUCCACUUGUUCAGCGGGCUGCGUUAGUUUAGGUGUUGAGUUUGAGGGAGAAGCUGGAGAGCUGUGGAGUUCCACUCCAGGGGUGAUAAAAGCAUGAAACAGCUUAUGUAGGAUCAGAGCCAGCAUCCCCUGUCUUCUGCAAUGGCCAAUGACAGAUGCUGCAGAAAAACGUAAGAACAGGGUGAGUAGAGGAAGAUCCAUCUCCAGUAGAUUUUCCAGCAUCCAUUCAUCUGAGGUUUAGGGACUUUUAGAGCUACAUAUGAGGUGUUAGUAGUUAACAGUAGUUAAGUAGUGACUUAAUCUUGCUAAAGCAGAAAGGGUUGCUAAUGACAGGAGAGCUCUGUAAUCCCCCAGCAUGCUGCCCUGACAUCCUGCAGAGCAGACUCCAAACUGUUUACCUUUCUGUUAAUUGGUUUGUUUGCAUACAGCCUGUUCCAGGGAAGGGAAGGACUGCUGACCAUCCUGUCUCUGCAGGAUUCCUUUUUGAGGUCUAGCUCCCUGGCAUUAAAUGCUUUGAUCCCAAAGGAUCCUCAGUUAUACAUAAUUUAAUCAUCCGAUGGAUCCUGCCAACUGGUGUCUGGUCAAGAGAGCGUGGUAACUGCUCUGCAGCAUGUGGUGAUGCUGCUCUGAAAUCCAGGCCCUGCCAGGAAGUAGAGGAGCACAGUGGUCAAGAAAAGAAACACCAAGAGUUUCAGGUGCAAAAGAGUAUGUAUUUCCCAGGAGUGAGAAGUACCCAGUCUUCUAUCAUAAUCAGAACAGCUCAGCCAUCUAUGUUGGCGGAGAAGGAAAGCUUUAUUACUACGACUUUGCAACCUAUGAGAACCACACGGUAAGGAUGCUCUGCUAACAAGUUUACCUUUGGAGCCCUAAAAGAAAGUGUCCAGCAUUCGUCUCUCAGCCCAAACGCUAGAUACCUUGCUCAGUGUCUUUGCCAGAAGCAAAGUCAGGCCUAGAAUGGUCUGGACUCUGCCCAGCC